ensembl:lncRNA
UUUUAUUUGCAGCCACAUUUCAGAUUCUAACAGAAGAGGCGUGUUGUGUUCCUACCACUGUUUAUCUGAUCACAGUAUCCAGCACAGCUUUCAGGGGGUAUUUGAGGGUUUAUCUAUAUCUGUCAAUCUAUCUAUCUAUAUAUACAUAUAUAUAUCUAAUUAUCUAUAUAUAGAUAUAUAUAGAUAUACACACACACCUUUUAACAUUUUUUUUCCAAUGUAUAUGUACCACCACCCUUCUUCCCUACCCCUUUUUGACAUACGUACAGAUCCAGCAUGCAUAUUUGGUAUUCUUGACUGUUGUUUUUUUGUGUAUAAAAAAAUGUCUUUAAAAAAGAAUUGUUGUUUAUCUGUUCAUGGUGUACUCAGAUCUAAAUUUAAGAUAACAAAUGUACCAUCACUGCAAACAACCGAAACAAGUUCUAGUCCUUUUUCUGUCAGUUGUAUCAUGCUAUAAAACCAUGGAAUACUGAGGAAGUGGAGCAAAAAUAUAUGCUUACUGUUGGUAGUAAGUUGUCUUGCAGCCAUGUGCACAAAGCUUUUUAACUACCUGCUCCCGGAUAAGACCAUUAAAUUGUUGUCUCUUGUUUAUACCAGCCCAGAGUUCAAGUGGUGGCCUGCUUAUUGUUCAACAGCACAAAUUUCUGUGUCAAGUUCACCUAAUUUCAUUCUGAUGUAAAAUUACUAUCCUCCAACAGAUUUAUUCAGAUUAUUUGAAUUUGGUAGAACAUUUUGAAUCGACUGAUGUUGCGGUGGAUAUGUCAAAACCCCACACUGUUCAAAAUGUGAAAAACAAAAUUCAGACUGUAACACACUGAUUCACAUACCUACAAAGAACCACUAAGACAAAAACCUAUCCAGCUGUUAGACUGACAAAAACUGGUCUUUUUCUCAUUUAAGCCUGCUUCAGGUUCCUCUCGGUAUUCUCUCUCUUGAAAUAGUUUCUCUGGUGGUUAAUCUAUCUCAGUACACAUUGCUUUGUCCAAUCAGUUGCAAUAGUUCAGUGAUUGUAGAUUCUUCGUUUGUUUAUGAGGUUAAUCUAUGUACGUUUGUUUAUCAGUGAACGUUCACUAGAAUUCUUUCUCUUGCAGAAUAAAGAAAAUAUUUUGUUCAAAUACAAAAACUGAAGUGCCUCUUUUAUUCAAGUCCUGUUCAGUUUUUGUUGCAAGGUCCAACUCUGUCUUGCAGUGACAAUUAAAAAGCCCAUGAGAUGUCGUUAAAAGAUUUUUUUAAGCACCCUCCUCUUCUCCCAUCC